rnacentral:rRNA from 1 species
GACAGAGGGUGCAAACGUUGUUCGGAAUUACUGGGCGUAAAGCGUGUGUAGGCGGUCUCAAAAGUCAGAUGUGAAAGCCCCGGGCUCAACCCGGGAAGUGCAUUCGAAACUGCGAGGCUAGAGUAUCGGAGAGGUUGGUGGAAUUCUCGGUGUAGAGGUGAAAUUCGUAGAUAUCGAGAGGAACACCGGUGGCGAAGGCGGCCAACUGGACGAAUACUGACGCUGAGACACGAAAGCGUGGGGAGCAAACAGGAUUAGAUACCCUGGUAGUCCACGCCGUAAACGAUGGGUGCUAGGUGUCGCGGGCUUUGACUCCCGCGGUGCCGUAGCUAACGCAUUAAGCACCCCGCCUGGGAAGUACGGCCGCAAGGCUAAA